GAACACCCAAAUGGCGCAUCCCCACCCCUCAAGCUUCUGCCCGCCUCUAAGCUACCCAAACUCGCCGGAAAACUCACCAAACCAGGCGAGUUCACUCACUGGUCCCCCCUACUCUCCUCUCCUUCUUCCAUGUCACUCAAAUCGUACCAAAUCUCAUCAUUUCAAUUCGAUUCACGCGGAUUUCUUCUUUUAUUUCUUUUGUUUAAACAAAAAAUCUGAAUCCUUGAGAUAAAUAUUGGAAAAAUGGGGGCCGUUGGAUUAAAAUUUUGAUCCAAGACUUUCAUUUUCUGAUUUUUGUUAAAAUGGGAUUUUCGGAUCUUGUUGAGGGCCACACGAGAUUUCUUGGAGAGGAGGAGGAAGCUUCUAGGACUGCUAUAUAUAUUUGAGGUUUUUGGGACAGAAAUUUGGGGGAGAGAAUUUGGAAAAAAGGGUUUGGAAAGAAAUUUGGGUUCUAAGAGGGAAUUUCUUCUUUUCUUCUCAUUUUGGUCCAUUUUCAGUUGAGUUCAAAUUCCAGAAAAACAAAAAUACAAAAAAUAGUUUAAGUUUAGAUUUUUGUUUCAACUUGUCUCCAUUUUAAAUAAUCAGAAAAUAUCCCAAAAAAUGUUUUAGUUUCUUCUUUUGGUUUCGGUUUCAACAUGGAGGUUGAUUGAGCCAAGAUUCGUUCGCCAUUCGAGUUUGUUCGAGGUUGAAGUCAUGUUCGUCGUUCGAGUUCUGGUUCCAUCAUUCGAUUUUACUUGUUGUUUCUCGUCGGAUUUUCUUUCGAUUCGAGGAGUCUGUAUUUGCUGAUUUUUCCAUUAUUAUUUAGAAGGACUUCAGCUUAACAGGUAUGGAUCCACUUACCAACACUAGAGUAUCAAUGGUGGUCAAAGUCCCUAGAAGGCUAGUAAAAUGGAGGAAUAUGUUCACAUUACUUGAGCAGCGUGAUCUGAUGGGUAAAUUAGGGAUAUUUCUUUGAUGGACAUCACUUCCCGUCAAGACCUUGUAGAAGCAAUGUUAACAUUUUGGGACCCACAGGGAAUGGUAUUCAAGUUUGGGGAUCUUGAGAUGACACCCACCUUAGCUGAGAUAGCAGGGUAAACUCGCCUGCCAUACCUAGACAAGGAUUUGAUUUACACAAGGGUUCAUUCAAACACCAAGUUCCUUAAGAUCAUAGGAAUAGAUUUAGAAAAUCACAUGGGAUGUCUGGAUCAAUCUUGGGUACCUUUGGACUUUUUAUUUGAGAGGUUUGCUCGUCCUACUGGGUAUGAGACCUUCGUAGAUGAAUUUUCCAUAUCAUAUGAUUCUUGGAAGAAGAGGCGUCCUAUGGUCUUCGCUAUUGCAUUGUUGGGUCUCCUGGUAUUUCCUUUGGAGGGUAGACAUAUUAGCACACGUCUGGGGUCAAUAGCCUUUGCACUUUUCCAUGAUAAACACAGUAGUAAGGUCACCUUGAUUCCGACAAUUUUGGCAGAGAUCUAUCGUGCUUUGACCAGGGUUCAAGAGGGUGAGAGGUUCUUUGAGGGAAGAAACUUGUUGCUGCAGCUGUGGAUUAUGGAACACUUACAUCCCACCACCAUGUUUGAGAAAGAUGUGAUCGACCGUUGUUUGAGAGAUCGAGUGAAGUGCAUCGAGCAUAGAAUUACGUUUGAUAAGUUUGCCUUACCACUCGGAGUUCAGCCUUGGGUUAAUUACUUAGGAUCCUUGACUGAAGAGAAGAUUUUAUGGUCAUACCUUUGGAUUGAUUUGGACGUGAUCUUAGCAGGAUCUCGCGUGCAAGACUUCUUGGUAAUGAUUGGACUUUGGUGUACUAGACCAUAUACCCCUGCUGGAGUGAUACGUCAGUUAGGGAGGCGAUAAGAAGUCCCCUACAUUCCCGAUUUUUGUGAUUUCACUAGGGAAUUUGACACUUUGCCUCACAGGGAGGUCGACAUCCAGAGUUAUUGGCGUCAUGCAAUGAAGAUGGGUAGAGAUACUUUAGCAGUUGACCCGCAUUCACCUGGGUAUACCCAUGAGUACUUCAUAUGGCUACAGUCUACUCACCGGGGGGUUAUUAGGCCAUUGCCCCGAUGUGUUAGAGGAGUAUUUAUCGAGGAGGCCACCUCACGGAUAUUGCUUAGAUAGUUGACGGAUCGAUUUACCCAGGCAGAGGAGGCCCGUGCAGCAUAAAAGGUUGGGGUUCGAACUACACUUCAGUCAUUGAGAUCACAAUUGGCAGGGUUGGUAAAAAACAUGGGACAACACCAUGAGUACCUUACUAGAGUCAGCCUUCCAGAUGCAGGCGCGCAUUCCAGGGUUCUCAUUCCCAGUUUCGAGGUAUCUUUGCAGGGUAUAAUAUGGAGCUUAGAUUCGAAAUGAUUGACGGGGCCAUUCGGAUCUUCAUCGGACCCGUCCCGGCCAAGACCGUCGCAUUCAAGAGCAGCUUGAUGAGUUAUUCUAUUUAGGUGUUUUGAGAUUGUCUUAUGUUGUCUUUUACAUUCGUGUCUUGUCUAGGAGUACCGAGUCCUUUAGGUAGUGCCAGAGUUUGUCAUAGUGUAGUUAAUUCUGUCAGGUCUUUCAUUAUUGUAAUGACCCGACCGGUCGUUUUGAGCUCUAGUGCGUCGUUUAGUAGUUUGA